GGGCCGGUAGCUCAGCCUGGUAGAGUGCCGCAUUGGCAUUGCGGAAGCCUCGGGUUCAAAUCCCGACCGGUCCA
rnacentral:tRNA from 1 species